UUUCGCCACCAGGAGUGAAGUUACCACCCUCAGUGAUUUUGAUUGGUCCUUUGUGUUAGCCACGCCCUAAUGCACCAAAACAGGGCCAAAAGUUUUCAAACGGAAAUGGUCAGAUUCAAAAGCGAAAAUAAAAAAGAGUUGAAAAUGAAAAAAGGAUUUGAAAUAAAAAGAAAAAGAUUUGAAACUGAAAACAAAAGUUUUGAAAUUGAAAUUUUGAGUUUUGAAAACCAAAAAACAACACUUGAAGCUGAUAAUAAUUAAGUUGAUUUUAGAAUAGUGAAAAUUUUCGGGCAUUUCACAUUUUUUUUAGGCUAAACCCCAAUAUUUCUUUUAAGUUGCUCUAUUAUGGUUUCAAAUAAUAUUGGCCUCAAUGUAGCUCCAUACCUUAGCAUCAAGUCAUUUCAGAAUAUACAAUAAAACAACAUAAUUUUGAAACGAGAAAUUCCACACAAACAUUCAGAAAAGAGAAAAAUAAGCUAAAAUAAAAACAGUUAUGCUACGAUAACAUUAUACACACGUUCUUGAACACUUUUAGCAUACUAGCGUACACUAGAAAGCAUUGGGUCACCUAUCCUAAUGAUCAGAAUCAGGUGUUCUAGUACUUGUUCUGGCUACAGGUGUAUAGAAUCAAUCACUCAGGCUUGUGGACUGUUUUUACAAACAUUUGUGAAAGAAUCACAAACGUUUGGCACUUCUGUGAAUUAAAAAGGACGCCAUCCAUACGUCACUAAAGCAGAGAUCUUGAAUGGAGACUCACAUUCUACGCCAAUUCAAUGGACGUUUUUCUACGAAGCCCGAAAACAGAUUCUCAGCUGCUAUCUGAACUCCUGUCCUUCAAUCUCCUCUUGUUGCUACACCUGCACACAGGUAAGCUAGCAGGCGUUUAAAUAUCACCUUGUAAAUAUUUAAAGCAGUAGCCUUAAACUGGUUUAAUUAUUCAGAUCACACAGAUGUACAGUAAGGUCGGAUUUAGUAUUUUUUUUUUUUUUUUGCUGCAGUGCUUAGUAGUUCCUGGACAGAUCAAUCAGAAGAAAUGGUGAAUAAAAAAUGCUCCCCAUCGAUGCAACGGUGACAUGACAAUGUAAGUUGUUUACUCAAGAAUGCAAGGAAUUCAUACAAGCACCAUCUGCUUCACUUGACCUGGAAGCACAUCCACUCUUCUGUUUGCCUGAGUGUGUCUGAGCUGCACAGCAGAGGGAGAAGGGGAGCUCUCUGAGCUGCUAAUUACUGGAAUCAAGCUGCAGAAGUCCGUAGCUGCUUUAGAUAUUAAUUGUUGUCCCUGGAGGAAAAAGACUGUUUAGAUGUUGGGAUUAUCAUGUCAAUAAAAAAAUAAAAGGAUAAACAAGA